CGAAAAAAAUCCUCGCAAGGAAUCCUUGCGAGGUGCCCAUACACAUACUUAUGUAUGCCAUGAGGCUAUGGGAGAGGAGAAACCGGAGGAAGAACUUAUGGGGAAACGUAAGCCUUCUCCGCGG
rfam:Bacillus okhensis strain Kh10-101 contig06, whole genome shotgun sequence.